UGGAUUCUGAAACUGAUUUGUGCAAAAAAUAAACGCAGACGAAGUACAAUUACUCAAGAUAGUUUUGAGUUUAAAUAAUUAGAAGUGCACAAUCAACUUAUGGAAGUUGAACUAUAAGCUUAAACAACAAGAAAGGAAGUUAACUUCGGGAAGCCGAAGUUUGUAUACCCUUGCAGUUAUAAGAAAUAAUGAACGUUAGUAACACCAUGUAACAUUUUUAAGGAUUGUUGCUGUUAGUGAUAUUAAAAAAAAAAAUUAUUUCAUUCUUAUUUUUAGACCAUUUGUUUGACAUCUAUAUGUUAAAUAGUCCGAUUUCUAAUAAAUUGAAUUCAAAAUUCUUAAAAAUAUUAAAAAAUUUAUUUUUAAGCUUAGAAGCUUAUAUGUAAAAAUUACGAAAGAAAUAAUUUUAUUAUAAUCAUAUUUUCCGACUAAUUUUCCGAUCGUUUCUAUGGCAGCUAUAUGAUAUAGUCGUCCGAUUUUGAUAAAAUUUAACUCGAAAUUCAAAAAGCAAUCAAAAAAUGUUAUUUCCGAAAAUAUAAUUUUUUCAUAUUAUUUUAGCAUUAAUUUUCCGAUAAUCGUCCGAAUUGGAUAAAACUUGAUUCGAAAUUCAGAACUAAUUAAAAAAUGGCAGUUCCAAGAUUAGAAUGUUACAUGUUAAAAAAACAGCGAAGAUAUCAUUUUUUUUUAAUUGUUUCCCCGAUAGUUCCUAUGGGAGCUAUAAGAUAUAGUUGUCCGAUCCGGCUGGUUCCGACUUAUAUACUACCUGCAAUAGAGAGAAGACUUUUCGGAAAGUUUCAGCCCGAUAGCUUUAAAACUGAGAGACUAGUUUGCGUAGAAACGGACGGAUGGACAGACAGACAUGGCUAGAUCGACUCGUCUUGUGACGCUAAUCAAGAAUAUAUACACUUUACGUCUCCUUCACUGCGUUGCAAACUUUUGAAUGAAAUCAUUAUACCCUCUGCAAGGGUAUAAAAAUUUCUAAUUUUCCGAUUGUUCCUAUGGGAGCUAUAUGAUAUAGUCGUCCGAUUUUAAUAAAAUUAAAUUCGAAAUUCAGAACCAAUUUAUAAAUGUUAUAUCCAAGCUUAGAAGGUUAUAUGUUAAAAAACACCGAAGGUAUAAUUUUUUUAAAAUUAUUUUCCUCGAUAGUUUCUAUGGGAGCUAUAAGAUAUAGUUGUCCGAUCCGGCUGGUUCCGACUUAUAUACUACCUGCAAUAGAAAGAAGACUUUUGGGAAAGUUUUAGACCGAUAGCUUUAAAACUGAGAGACUAGUUUGCGAAGAAACGGACGGACAGACGGACGGACGGACGGACGGACAGAUGGACAGACGGACAUGGCUAGAUCGACUCGUCUUGUGACGCUGACCAAGAAUAUAUAUACUCUAUGGGGUCGGAAACGUCUCCUUCACUGCGUUGCAAGCUUCUGACUGAAAUCAUUAUACCCUCUGCGAGAAAAAAUGAGAGGUAUGCAUGCCCGUCACAUAUGCUCAUUUCUACAGUUCCGAAAGUCCAUUCUCCCUCCCCGUUGUGGUCAGUCGCACCCUUAAAAAGUUAGCCUUAAUAUGAGUUAUUCUGAAGCACUCACGCUAAGGUUUUCGGUUUAAUAUUCAUUUUAAAAUGAAAAUAGACAAGAAUUAUUAGAAUAACGAUUUAUCGCUUUAAGUACACGGUGGCUGCAUGAACUACAUAAUCUUUCAAAACGCCUUUUUGUGGUCCACUCCAUAUUACUACUUCAGGCUGACUUAUAAGGUAUUGUCGAUGGGAUAGUUGCCUACUUCUAAACGAACUCUGUCAUUAUGCUUCGUUGGCCGUGUCUAAGAUUACUAAUAAUUGUUUUUGACUGACAACCGUCGUCCUGUUUUCGGAUCGGAAUGUAAAACCAACAACGAAUGCAAACUUAAAAGCAUUGGGGAAGAUACUGGAGUUACCGUGGACGCGCGGGAACGCGCUUUUGAAGAGGUAUUAUCCCGCAAUAUAGGAGUCUAAUCUAAUCUGUGUACUUGACGUUAUCAUUUUUCACCUACCACUUCAUGGUGGAUUCAAAAACCGAAGACAGCGAAUGUUUAUUCAACGUCGGCGCGAAACAGAUACAAAUUACUGGAGAGUGGCGAUACCCCGAUCUUCUCUUAUAUUAUACUUCUAUACUGUUAAUCCUUAACCAUCCUAUACACGUUAUGGGUAAUCGAUUAUAAAUCUGAGCGAAACCGGAA